rnacentral:rRNA from 1 species
AGUCUGGUGCCAGCAGCCGCGGUAAUUCCAGCUCCAAUAGUGUAUAUUAAAGUUGUUGCAGUUAAAAAGCUCGUAGUUGAACUUCUGGCAGUGUGCAGUUAUGGCUUCGGUCAGACUGUUCGCUGUCAUCCGUCUGCAAACCUUGUUCGGCCUUUACUGGUACGGCAAGGGGAGUAGACAUUUUACUUUGAAAAAAUUAGAGUGUUUCAAGCAGGCUAUGGCCAGAAUACUUUAGCAUGGAAUAAUGGAAUAGGACUCUUGUCCAUUUGGUUGGUUAUUGGAUUAGAGUAAUGAUUAAUAGGGACAGUUGGGGGCAUUAGUAUUUAAUUGUCAGAGGUGAAAUUCAUGGAUUUAUUAAAGACUAACUUAUGCGAAAGCAUUUGCCAAGGAUGUUUUCAUUAAUCAAGAACGAAAGUUAGGGGAUCAAAGACGAUCAGAUACCGUCCUAGUCUUAACUAUAAACGAUGUCGACUCGGGAUUGGAAAGGUCAAUUUAUCCUUUCCAGCACCGUAUGAGAAAUCAUUAAGUCUUUGGAUUCUGGGGGGAGUAUGGUCGCAAGGCUGAAACUUAAAGGAAUUGACGGAAGAGCACCACCAGGCGUGGGACCUGCGGCUUAAUUUGACCCAACACGGGAAAACUUAUUUCGGCAAAACAUGAGUGGGAUUGACAGAUUGAGAGCUCUUUCUUGAUUUUAUGGGGUGUGGUGCAUGGCCGUUCUUAGUUUGUGGAGUGAUUUGUCUGGUUAAUUCCGUUAACGAACGAGACCUUAACCUGCUAACUAGUCUCCUCGUCACCAACGGGGGGUACUUCUUAGAGGGACUAUGGUUCGAUAAGACCAUGGAAGUUUGACGCAAUAACAGGUCUGUGAUGCCCAUAGAUGUCGAAAGCGGCACGCGCGUCAUACUGUCCUGUAACAGCAAGUUACUUCCUCUCCCGGAAGAGAAGGGGUAAUCUAUAAAACAGGACGUGGUAGGGAUAGAUCUUUGGAAUUAUAGAUCUUGAACGAAGAAUGCCUAGUAAGUGCAAGUCAUCAACUUGUGCUGAUUACGUCCCUGUCCUUUGUACACACCGCCCGUCGCUCCUACCGAUUGAGCGAUAUGGUGAACCUCCUGGACCGUGAGAUUCCUCGUGGAUCUUGUGGAAAGUUUAGUAAGCCUUAUCGCUUAGAGGAAGGAGAAGUCGUAACAAGGUA